UACGUAGGUGGCGAGCGUUGUCCGGAUUUAUUGGGCGUAAAGCGCGCGCAGGUGGUGCGGUAAGUCUGUCGUGAAAUCUCCUGGCUCAACUGGGAGGGUGCGGUGGAGACUGCCGGACUGGAGGCACUCAGAGGCCGGUGGAAUUCCCGGUGUAGUGGUGAAAUGCGUAGAGAUGUGGAGGAACACCGAUGGCGAAGGCAGCCUUCUGGGCCAACACUGACGCUCAUGCACGAAAGCGUGGGGAGCAAACAGG
rnacentral:rRNA from 1 species